rnacentral:rRNA from 1 species
UACGGGGGGGAGCAAGCGUUGUUCGGAUUUACUGGGCGUAAAGGGCGCGUAGGCGGUCAGCACAAGUCAGUUGUGAAAUCUCCGGGCUUAACUCGGAAAGGUCAACUGAUACUGUGCGACUAGAGUGCAGAAGGGGCAACUGGAAUUCUCGGUGUAGCGGUGAAAUGCGUAGAUAUCGAGAGGAACACCUGCGGCGAGGGCGGGUAGCUGGGCCGACACUGACGCUGAAGCGCGAAAGCUAGGGGAGCGAACGGG